CAGCCGCCGCGGUAAUACGAAGGGGGCUAGCGUUGUUCGGAUUUACCGGGCGUAAAGGGCGCGUAGGCGGACUGAUAAGUCAGGGGUGAAAUCCCAAGGCUCAACCUUGGAACUGCCUUUGAUACUGUUUGUCUUGAGUUCGAGAGAGGUAAGUGGAACUGCGAGUGUAGAGGUGAAAUUCGUAGAUAUUCGCAAGAACACCAGUGGCGAAGGCGGCUUACUGGCUCGAAACUGACGCUGAGGCGCGAAAGCGUGGGGAGCAAACAGGAUUAGAGACCCCCGUAGUCCCUGUCUCUUAUAC
rnacentral:rRNA from 1 species